GGGACGGCUGAGGGGCCAAGAUGGCGGCACGUGCACGUUCCUCUCCUCCCGCGCAGUCCCGGAGGCUGAGGUGAAGGCUGGGAGAGGGAAGCGGGAAAGCAAAUUUUGACACGCAGCUGAAGGUCUGCUCCAAAAUUGCGGACGUUUUGCUUCUUUACCGCUUGGUGGCAGCAAAGGAGCGUCAAACAGUCUGCGGGAUGCGCCGAGAGCGCUUUUUAAAGCCGCAGAAAUCCGAUCCAGAGAUUCACGGGCAAGAAACGAGCAAGCCGAAACCAAGCGACCAACCAAGCCCCACAAACCAGAAAAUCGGAAAAGAAGCCAAGCCCCCGACUUCUUUAUUUGAAAAGACAGAAAUAUUGCUUAUCUAGGGCAGUGCUGCCCCACCCCUCAGGUGGGGAUGGAUGGUCAUUGGAGCUGUGUCUUGAAACAGGCUAUUGUGUUGCCCUAAACUUGAAGGAAGGUUCCUACUGUGUCUCAGUUUUGAUGUAAUGAUUGAAAGAAUGUUUUUGGAGGGAAUGCUUUCCAAACC